CUAGACAACAGAUAUCUUGGCUCUUGCAUCGAUGAAGAACGUAGUGAAAUGCGAUACUUGAUGUGAAUUACAGAAUCCUGUGAACCAUCAAGUUUUUGAACGCAAGUUGUGCCCGAAACCUUUUGGCUGAGGGCACGUCUUCCUGGGCAUCAUA
rnacentral:rRNA from 1 species